GAGAAUAAAUUCUUGUCAUUUUUGGAAGACCUCUGCCUACUGCCAUCUUUCUGCCACUCUGGUCACACAACCUACAACAAGCCUGAAAUAAUCUCUCUGGG